CACACGACUCUCGGCAACGGAUAUCUCGGCUCUCGCAUCGAUGAAGAACGUAGCGAAAUGCGAUACCUGGUGUGAAUUGCAGAAUCCCGCGAACCAUCGAGUCUUUGAACGCAAGUUGCGCCCGAGGCCACCCGGCCAAGGGCACGCCUGCCUGGGCGUCACGC
rnacentral:rRNA from 9 species